rnacentral:rRNA from 1 species
UAGGGAAUCUUCCGCAAUGGGCGAAAGCCUGACGGAGCAACGCCGCGUGAGUGAUGAAGGUCUUCGGAUCGUAAAACUCUGUUAUUAGGGAAGAACAAAUGUGUAAGUAACUAUGCACGUCUUGACGGUACCUAAUCAGAAAGCCACGGCUAACUACGUGCCAGCAGCCGCGGUAAUACGUAGGUGGCAAGCGUUAUCCGGAAUUAUUGGGCGUAAAGCGCGCGUAGGCGGUUUUUUAAGUCUGAUGUGAAAGCCCACGGCUCAACCGUGGAGGGUCAUUGGAAACUGGAAAACUUGAGUGCAGAAGAGGAAAGUGGAAUUCCAUGUGUAGCGGUGUAAUGCGCAGAGAUAUGGAGGAACACCAGUGGCGAAGGCGACUUUCUGGUCUGUAACUGACGCUGAUGUGCGAAAGCGGGGGGAUCAAACAGG